rnacentral:tRNA from 1 species
UGGGGUAUUGUGUAAUGGUAGCACGAUAGAUUCUGGUUCUAUUUGUCCGGGUUCGAAUCCUGGUACCCCAA